rnacentral:misc_RNA from 1 species
GAUGAAGAACGCAGCGAAAUGCGAUACGUAAUGUGAAUUGCAGAAUUCAGUGAAUCAUCGAAUCUUUGAACGCAUAUUGCGCUCUCUGGUAUUCCGGAGAGCAUGCUUGUUUGAGUAUCAGUAAACACCUCAACUUCCAUAUCUUUUUUGAAAUGGGAGUUGGACUUGAGUGAUCCCAACGCUUUUCCUCACCGAAAAGUGGCGGGUUACUUGAAAUGCAGGUGCAGCUGGACUUUUCUCUGAGCUAUAAGCAUAUCUAUUUAGUCUGCCUAAAAAACAGAUUAUUACCUUUGCUGCAGCUAACAUAAAGGAGAUUAGUUCUUGUGCUGACUGAUGCAGGAUUCACAAAGACAGGCUUCGGCCGACUUUGUAAACUCGAUCUCGAAUCAAGUAAGACUACCCGCUGAACUUAAGCAUAUCAAUAAGCGGAGGA